rnacentral:lncRNA from 1 species
UUUUGGCUUCUAACUUGAACCAAUUUUAAGAUCUAACAUCAACUCUUUUCCCACAAAUUUUCAGCCAAGUUUGGGCCAUUUCCUCUCAAAUUCCAAACCGGCCCAAUAUUUCCAACAUUCAACAGAAACCCAUUAUAACAACAACAUUCUAAUCAGCCCUAUACUCAAAUCAAUAGCCCCUUUUCCAUAAUUUCCAGCCCACCAAGCCAAUCCAUUUCCCCUUAACCCGGCCCAUUUCUUUUGUUCAGCAAAGAGUUCAACAACUAUUCCAAACAACAAAGGCAAACAGCAGCACACGGAAAUCUCACGGAGACGGACGGAAAGCAGCGGCAACAGGCAGUACGCUGCCUUUUCUUGUCUUCUUCCUCAACGUCCCUCUCCGAUAGUACUGUUCCAGCCGUGAUUCCAGUAAAAGCAGCACGCAUUUUCGUCCUUGUGGUGUGAGAUUGAGGCACAUAGCAUCUCAAGGACUCUCAAUCGAUCGAGACCCUCCACCUCAUUCCAAUCCGUUUGAAAUGAGGAUCAAUUCGGUAUAUUCUUCCGUCCUUGGAGAGAAUUUGAGGGGGAAUUUUCAAAAUUUGUGGGCCUUGUUCUUAUCCAACUUCUCGGCCCUUUUCCCAAAUUCCGAACCCUAGUUUUUCCUUAUAAAUACCCUCUUUGCUCACUGUUCAAAGGAGGGUUUUUUUUCGAGACCUGAGAGUACCCUAAAAGGUUUGGGAAAUCUUGGUUCAAUAGUUUAAUUUGUUGUGGUUGUUUGAGUUGAAAGAGGUGGAAUCGUCUCCGUCAAACUCAUCCGUCCAGUUCGCUGCCCCGAGCCAGGUAAUCUUCUCUUUAUUUCAGCAUUUUGUUGGCUCUUGAAAUCUUGUUUGGCGUUAGCUGUUUAAGUAUGUUUUCAGUAGCUUAAAUUUUAUUUUUUAUUUUUUGCCUAUUUUUGAACUGUCUAAUUUAUAUGUGAGAUAUUUAUGUCUUUAAUUUCAUCAUUUUCUACCAUCUUAGGACAAAUAUAAUCAGUAUUGAAUGAAGUUAGAGUUAUUUUUUUUUUUAUUUUUUUUUAUUUUUUUUGUUCAAGCAUUUUAGUUGUCAAGUAGUCGAUCUGUGUAGCUUGUUGUAUUCGUUUGAUUUGAAAAGGUUUUAAAGCGCUAGUUAUUCUCGACUUGCUUCACCUUUUGACUUAUGACAAAUUUUAAAUUUGGAGUUGAAUAUUCUCAUUCAUGAUGAGCGAAAACCUCCCCAUUCAUCUAAUCUUUUUACAUGUAUAAGAGAAUGUAGUGAUUAAUUUCUCUCUAGUCAGCCAUGUGAUCCAAUAUGAGCUUGAAGUGUGUUUAUUUUGAUUAUAGCGCGACUGUUUAAAUUCGAGUUUGCGAACUUGCUUCAUGCUGUCUCAUUUCCAAUCGUUUUCGGCUCCUAGUUGUCGUCCGUCUCUCUGUUUUGAGGUUCCUAUUUUGAUUUCCAUGUGAAUGAUUCAAAAUGAUGUUCGAUUUAGUGUUAUGUCUCAUGUUACCUUAAGAUUAAUGAGUGUAGCUAUAUGUUUAACACAACUGAUAAUUUAUUUAUGUGUUAAGAUGUUAGUUUGUUGUUCUUUAUAAUGCUACUGUCGGGAUUAAUGGAACACAAAAGUUCUCAUGUGUUAACCGAUUUUUAUUUAUUUUUGACUCCUUAAUCUCUAGUUUUCUCUGACUGCUGGUUGAAUUUAAGGUUUAUGUGAAGUUGUUUAAAUUGUCCCUUCCUUGUCUAUUUUCCGAUUUUCUUUGCUCAAAUUUAUAGCUAAAGUUUGUAGUUAUGGAUUGUCUUAAUGUGAAUAUAAAGAAAAGGUUUUAGGAUCAAAUGUUGCCUUCAUUUUGUUUGGCAUAUUACUUGAUUUAUCUCUGCCAAAAAAUGAUUUUCAAUUGUCCAUAAUUAAUUAAGCAUGUUAGUAUAAACUACUUUGAAGUCCUCAUUAUGAUAUGUCAUUUUUAUCGCCUUUAGCAUAACUGAGUUAAUACAUAUCAAUUAAUCUUAUGUGACUUCAAAUAUUUAAAUUUUGAAUCUAAAAGAGAUUGGAGUUUGUACAUCCAUGAGUAGUGUCGGGUUUGGUCUUGAUGUGAUACUUGUUUGAAUCUCUUUAUUUAUUAAUUAUAUGGAAUGUACUCUUUCUAUCAUUAAUUAUUAUACAUGCUAGUUGAAGUCUGCAUGCCUUAAUUCUUGGCUACAAACCUUUCUGCAAGUAUCAUGUGAUAAGCUCCCCAUAUUGUGGUACUAGUUUUUUUUUCUAUUUUAAUUGAAAUUGUUCAUUUUAAGUUAAAAUUUGAAAAAAAAUGCUAGCUUUGUUUGAUCGUACAAAUUAUUUGUGCUUAAAGCUGAAUGAGAUGUGUGCUUUCCUUAAUUAUCUAAAAAUUGUUCACUUUGCUAAUUUACUUUUUUUUUUCUCUUCUUUGUUUGUUGUAUGUGACAUCCGAAUGAGUCCAAUGGACUCUCAUCUCUUGCAUUUUCCUCUUCGAGUCGACCUCCUUUAAACCGACUGAAAUGGAAGUUAUUUUCAUCGGGAUAAGCACCCCAAAAAGACAGCAGCAGCAGUAGCUUAAAGGGCUAAAAGAAUAGUUUUUUUUUUUUUUAUUUGAAAAGUCUGAAAAUGGCACCAGCUGAAGCAGAGUUGCAGCUGCCUCUAAAAGGCAGAAAAACGAGGAGAAAAAAUUGGGUCGAAACCCCGACAAACCACCAGCAGUAGCAGCAGUCCCCAAAGGGACUAAAAUUGGAAAUUUUUGGACUUUAAAAAGUCCAAUCUGGGCAGCAGCAAAUGAGAAGCAGCAAGUGGACUUAAAGUUGUCCAAAUCCUAUUUGCACUUUUGUUUCCCUUAUAUCGUGAUUUUGUGAUACUUGCUCUUAAUUUCUAACAUUUAUUUUAUCAAUUUAGAUGAAUCCUUGGGGUGAUAUGUUUAUUAAAGUUUUCAAAUUUUGAAACUCAUUUUAAGUUAGGUAAUUUAAGCUUUAUAGAAUGACUUGAGAACCUUUUAUGUUCUUUCAUAGUUAUUGAUAAGCUUCGAAUCCAUGUUUACGAGUUUGAACUAACUAUUUGGUUCAAAUUUUUAAAUAGGAUAAAGUUGUUAAGUUUCUUAAAAUAAAUUAGUUGUCUUUUAGUUUAACUUAGGACCUUGUAUGAAUGACUUAAGGAUUUUCUAUAUAUUUUUGUAGUUGUCAAACAA